CUUGGGGGGGGGGUGCUAUACAUGCAGUCGAGCGAACUGAUUAGAAGCUUGCUUCUAUGACGUUAGCGGCGGACGGGUGAGUAACACGUGGGCAACCUGCCUGUAAGACUGGGAUAACUUCGGGAAACCGAAGCUAAUACCGGAUAGGAUCUUCUCCUUCAUGGGAGAUGAUUGAAAGAUGGUUUCGGCUAUCACUUACAGAUGGGCCCGCGGUGCAUUAGCUAGUUGGUGAGGUAACGGCUCACCAAGGCAACGAUGCAUAGCCGACCUGAGAGGGUGAUCGGCCACACUGGGACUGAGACACGGCCCAGACUCCUACGGGAGGCAGCAGUAGGGAAUCUUCCGCAAUGGACGAAAGUCUGACGGAGCAACGCCGCGUGAGUGAUGAAGGCUUUCGGGUCGUAAAACUCUGUUGUUAGGGAAGAACAAGUACGAGAGUAACUGCUCGUACCUUGACGGUACCUAACCAGAAAGCCACGGCUAACUACGUGCCAGCAGCCGCGGUAAUACGUAGGUGGCAAGCGUUAUCCGGAAUUAUUGGGCGUAAAGCGCGCGCAGGCGGUUUCUUAAGUCUGAUGUGAAAGCCCACGGCUCAACCGUGGAGGGUCAUUGGAAACUGGGGAACUUGAGUGCAGAAGAGAAAAGCGGAAUUCCACGUGUAGCGGUGAAAUGCGUAGAGAUGUGGAGGAACACCAGUGGCGAAGGCGGCUUUUUGGUCUGUAACUGACGCUGAGGCGCGAAAGCGUGGGGAGCAAACAGGAUUAGAUACCCUGGUAGUCCACGCCGUAAACGAUGAGUGCUAAGUGUUAGAGGGUUUCCGCCCUUUAGUGCUGCAGCUAACGCAUUAAGCACUCCGCCUGGGGAGUACGGUCGCAAGACUGAAACUCAAAGGAAUUGACGGGGGCCCGCACAAGCGGUGGAGCAUGUGUUUAAUUCGAAGCAACGCGAAGAACCUUACCAGGUCUUGACAUCCUCUGACAACUCUAGAGAUAGAGCGUCCUCUCGGGGGACAGAGUGACAGGUGUGCAUGUGUCGUCAGCCUCGUGUCGUGGAAUGUGGGUAGGUCCCGCACGGAGCGCACCCUGAAUUAGUGCCAGCAUAGUGCACUUAAGGUGACUGCGUGACAACGGAAGAAAGGUGGGAUGACCCUCAUCA
rnacentral:rRNA from 2 species